rnacentral:other from 1 species
UAAUAAAUAGUGCCCAGGAUAAAAUAUAUUUCUUACAUUUUGAUAUAAGGGAAUCCGAUUGUUAAGAUGUGGUGUUGAAAGCUUAUCUGGAAUAAGAAUCCUAAUGCAUAUUACAGGAUACCCACCUACACAUACAGUAGGAUAAUAUCGUUUCUGGGCUUUAGUUGAUUAUUGU